rnacentral:rRNA from 1 species
AGUGAACGCUGGCGGUAGGCCUAACACAUGCCAGUCGAACGGCAGCACAGUAAGAGCUUGCUCUUACGGGUGGCGAGUGGCGGACGGGUGAGGAAUACAUCGGAAUCUACUUUUUCGUGGGGGAUAACGUAGGGAAACUUACGCUAAUACCGCAUACGACCUACGGGUGAUAGCAGGGGAUCUUCGGACCUUGCGCGAUUGAAUGAGCCGAUGUCGGAUUAGCUAGUUGGCGGGGUAAAGGCCCACCAAGGCGACGAUCCGUAGCUGGUCUGAGAGGAUGAUCAGCCACACUGGAACUGAGACACGGUCCAGACUCCUACGGGAGGCAGCAGUGGGGAAUAUUGGACAAUGGGCGCAAGCCUGAUCCAGCCAUACCGCGUGGGUGAAGAAGGCCUUCGGGUUGUAAAGCCCUUUUGUUGGGAAAGAAAAGCAGCAGGUUAAUACCCCGCUGUUCUGACGGUACCCAAAGAAUAAGCACCGGCUAACUUCGUG